rnacentral:rRNA from 1 species
GACGAACGCUGGCGGCGUGCUUAACACAUGCAAGUCGAACGGAAAGGCCCUGCUUUUGUGGGGUGCUCGAGUGGCGAACGGGUGAGUAACACGUGAGUAACCUGCCCUUGACUUUGGGAUAACUCCAGGAAACUGGGGCUAAUACCGGAUAGGAGCUCCUGCUGCACGGUGGGGGUUGGAAAGUUUCGGCGGUUGGGGAUGGACUCGCGGCUUAUCAGCUUGUUGGUGGGGUAGUGGCUUACCAAGGCUUUGACGGGUAGCCGGCCUGAGAGGGUGGCCGGCCACAUUGGGACUGAGGUACGGCCCAGAAUCCUACGGGAGGCAGCAGUGGAGAAUAUUGCACAGUGGGCGGAAGCCUGAUGCGACGACGCCGCGUGCGGGAUGACGGCCUUCGGGUUGUAAACCGCUUUCGCCUGUGACGAAGCGUGAGUGACGGUAAUGGGUAAAGAAGCACCGGCUAACUACGUG